CGUGUAGGCGGUCCGAUCAGUCCGCUGUAAAAGUCCAGGGCUCAACCCUGGAAAGCCGGUGGAUACUGUCGGGCUAGAGUCCGGAAGAGGCGAGUGGAAUUCCUGGUGUAGCGGUGAAAUGCGCAGAUAUCAGGAGGAACACCAAUAGCGAAGGCAGCUCGCUGGGACGGUACUGACGCUGAGACGCGAAAGCGUGGGGAGCAAACAGGAUUAGAUACCCUGGUAGUCCACGCCGUAAACGAUGGGCACUAGGUGUGGGGGGUGUCGACUCCCCCUGUACCGAAGCUAACGCAUUAAGUGCCCCGCCUGGGGAGUACGGCCGCAAGGCUAAA
rnacentral:rRNA from 1 species